UGGGGAAUAUUGCACAAUGGUCGAAAGCCUGAUGCAGCGACGCCGCGUGAGGGAUGACUGCCUUCGGGUUGUAAACCUCUUUCAGCAGGGACGAAGCGCAAGUGACGGUACCUGCAGAAGAAGCAACGGCUAACUACGUGCCAGCAGCCGCGGUAAUACGUAGGGUGCAAGCGUUGUCCGGAAUUACUGGGCGUAAAGAGUUCGUAGGCGGUUUGUCGCGUCGUUUGUGAAAACCAGCAGCUCAACUGCUGGCUUGCAGGCGAUACGGGCAUACUCGAGUACUGCACGGGAGACGGGAAUUCCUGGUGCAGCGGUGAAAUGCGCAGAUAUCAGGAGGAGCGCCGGUGACGAGGGCGAGUCUCUUGGCAGUACCUGACGCUGAGGAACGAAAGCGUGGGUAGCGAACAGG
rnacentral:rRNA from 1 species